AACGAACGCUGGCGGCAUGCCUAACACAUGCAAGUCGAACGGGAUCCUAGCUUGCUAGGUGAGAGUGGCGGACGGGUGAGUAACACGUGGGAAUCUGCCCUUUGGUCCGGGAUAACCGCCGGAAACUGCGGCUAAUACCGGAUGUCCUCGUGAGAGGAAAGAUUAUCGCCAGAGGAGGAGCCCGCGUCCGAUUAGGUAGUUGGUGGGGUAAAGGCCUACCAAGCCGACGAUCGGUAGCUGGUCUGAGAGGAUGAUCAGCCACACUGGGACUGAGAUACGGCCCAGACUCCUACGGGAGGCAGCAGUGGGGAAUAUUGGACAAUGGGGGCAACCCUGAUCCAGCAAUGCCGCGUGAGUGAUGAAGGCCUUAGGGUUGUAAAGCUCUUUUGCCAGGGAAGAUGAUGACUGUACCUGGAGAAUAAGCCCCGGCUAACUUCGUGCCAGCCGCCGCAGUAA
rnacentral:rRNA from 1 species